UUCAACCUAAUUGGUAUUUCCCCCCAAUCCUAAUUGUGAUCGGAUCUUCAGUUGGCUGUUCCUCUUAAUUUCUCACUUGAAAAAAAAAUUAGAAAUUCCCUCGUAGUUUGUAUUCCCCUAAAUUCUUUUUUCACUUCAAAAAAAUUAGAAAUCCCCUCCUAGUUUGUAUCCCCCCAAUCCUAAUCAGUUAUCACAAUCGAUCUUCAAUUAUUGUGCCCCCUAAUCUCCUUCUCAGAUUCAAGCAAUUGAGCAACUUCGUAUUCAGCGGUCUGCAUUCUGCACUAUCUGAUUCCAGAAAUCGUUAAUCGAUUAAAAACAGACGUCCCAUUAUAUGAUGUGGUUAUUUGAUUUGCUCAAGCAUCUCGAUAGUGACAUUUUGACCCGUUACACAAUUUGAGUUAGCCCAAAUGAACUUGCAUUAGGUAGCGUGGAGCUAGUGGCAGACUGAGUUCAAAAGCUGGUAAAAAGGUGUGGAUGGUAAUGGACCUAUUCAUUAUAGUAGUCGUAAUACUUGAUGAAAUUUCUAUUGAGUCAUAAUCGAAUCUGCGUUUUUAUUGGGUUUGAUAAUACCAUCAGUUUGUCUAUGUGCAAUCUUUUGAUGUGGUCUGUAUCCAAAGUAAAAGUGUAGCAACUUAGUGUCUAAUACUUUGAUUAUUUGUUCUAAUAGACCAUAUACUAAUUCCAGUUGUUGUCACUUGUCCUUCAUUGUGUUCUUAUGAAUUAUGAUGAAUGAAAGGAAGAAAUUAACAAGAAAUGAUAAGUUCAAAAUUGAUGUUGGGUGAAAUCUACUUGUUGGCUAGCUUGUUAUUGAACUCGUGAAAAAAACGUUUAUAAAGUUGGAAGUUUCUCUAUGUUUUAAAUAUUGUUUCUUUGGUUUUUUUGGUAAAAGGUGUCUAACUGUUAUGUGUGUUAUGGGUUGGGUAGUGUACUCGCUCUCCUUGCUUAUUUACACCGACUAAAACUUCAUAAUUUAGUCUGGUGCUCAACGAGUUGCUUCAUAUACUUAGCUUUUAAUUUGAAGUUUGGAACCUUUUUCAUAUAUUUAAUUUUAAUUUGUAUUAUAGAACACAUUGCUUAUGUACAUCUAUUGAGUCUUGUGCACAAUGCGUUUAUCUUAUUCAAUGUAUUAAUGUUAUGUAUUGUGUACAGAAGAAAUUAUCACUCGGUAUAAAUCACAGUUAAGGUACAUUCUCAACUCAUUAGUGUGUAAACUAUUUUGUGGCAGUUGAAAUAAUAAGAACUAAGUUGCUGUAAAUUAUUAUAGACUGUUUUAAUGUGCUGGGCUGAAAACAGCCUCACGGCAUCAACACACAUCGGUUGUUUGUUGCUAGUAAAAUCAUAACUGAUUUCCAGCAGUUCAUAUAGACAGUGUUAACAGUAGUGUAAUAUGAAUGUAUAACUGGUGUGAAAUUUAACUUUUAGCAAGUCUAGUGGCAAACAAAACCAAACAAAAUCAAAGUGGACAAAGAGAAAUCAAUGAUUUUUGGGUACAAUAGCUUGUAAUCACCGUUAUGCGCCAUUGAUCCAUGGUUCAUGGAAGAAAGUGCCACAUAAAGAUAAAAUAUGGUAGUAUGUCUUGGUAUUAAGGUUUUAAGUAUUAUUUCUUUUAUUUGCUAAUUCUAUUUUUUUAGAGGAAAAAAAACGAUGUGCCAUAUGCUUCUAAAACUCGGGUUUUACAGAGUAUUGGACAGUCGUAUAAGGUAUAGAAAUGUUGGUUUAAGAAGAAACACUUCUAUCAAUAUAAGGAAAAUGAAACAUGAUGGUAGAACCGACCUAAAACAUCCCAGACGAUAUUUUCUCAUAAUUAUUGAUGUUUUGGAGUAAUAAAGACGUGGCAGUAAUUUUCUACACAAUUUAUAUAUUACUAUUAUUUGUUGUAUAGAGUUUUCUAUUCUAUUAGCUCAUUCGUUUUUAUUAAUGUGUAUUCAGAGGCGUUGUUUGCGGGCUUAGGAGAUCCACAUGUCUCAAAAAAAUAUGCACACAAUCCAGAAAAAGUUUUGCUAGAAUUUGUGAAGAGAUGGUAAUGUCUUUAUUAUGCUUGUGACUUGUGGUUUUUAUUUUUCAAGAACAUGCAUAUUUUGCUGACACUACAACGAAAAUUGAACAAAUGAAGAACUAUAAACCUCUAGAAGAUGGAAGUGCUUUGGUCUAUUAUUGUGCGGUUGUAUGAACUUCAAAGCGAGCUUUGAAGUUGAAAAAACACAGUUACUCGAAAUGUGAAACAAAAUUGAAGAGGGCCAUCAAUGGAAGAAAAGUUUAGGUAGAAGCUAUGCAGGAAGGUUUUGAUAGCAAAUGAGCAAACUUUGAAGCUAUGAUGCGAUGAAUUAUGGAAAAGCUACCUAUCGGAGUGCUUUAGGAUCCUAGAUAUGAGUAGGUGGUUUCCGUUACCUUUUAUCAUUGUAAUUGACAGAUUUGUUUUGAUGACAUUUUUAUUAAUUUGUAGCUUGGACAUAUAUCAAACUAUGAUAUAAGAUUCUCUAUUAUAUUUAUGUUA